UUUUUCUUGUGUACUGACACUAUCAUGACAGGAGUAAACUGAGUAGUGGCGGGGGAAUAGGCAGCUUAGCAAAAGAUUAUACAUUUUUAGCGUUUUAUUUUUAGGACAGCUGUACUGGAAGUGAGAGUUCAUUUUCUGCUUAUGGCCUUGCUUUUUUUGCUGUGUGAUCCUGCAGUGAAGUCACUUGUCUUGUGCCAACUUGCUAUGUCAGAAAUUCAGCAUAAUUUCUGGAUCACAGCAUUAGGUAGGACAAGGAGAAAUGAAAUGUGUGCAGCAUAAAUGCAGGAAGAUUAGAAAAAUAUAAUUAGGAACUUGAAAUAAUUAGAAAAUAGAGGCAACAGAAUCUUUAGAAUAUUAGCAAAGGAAGACAUUAUAGAGUGAAACUCACAGGGCUGUGAGUCCAGACCAGUUUAGUAUAUCCUAGCUCCAUUCCCUGCAAGGUGGAAGGCAGAGCUAGCUGCAGAGCCAGGCUGGGAGGUGCAGGCACUGUAUUCAUAUGCACAACCAGUCUUGUCUGCACAGGAAAGUCGGUGAAUUGUUAUUUACUUCUGAAUUUUUGGUAUUAGCUACUCUCAGAAAGCACCCUUGUGAAUAUUUAUGCUUGACACCAAUAUGAUACUCUGAAUAAGAAAAACAUCUGUUCUGGAGUUUGCAGAAAGGCAGUGGGAAAUAAAGAGGUCAGUGGUGCAUGGACAACGAUUGAGAGUUGCAAUGGAAAGGAAAGAAAGAGCAGAAUUUGGAUGAGUUUUAGCCUUAAGACAGAAGUAAUAAUUAGAAGGAGAUGACACAUCAACACAGGCAGCACUUGGUUAAGUGAGAGGGUCUGCCCAGCUUGAUGAUAACUAAAUCCCAGACUAAGUGGGCUUUGUUCGUUCCAGCAAAUAGGACUAAGCAUCCAAAGGCCUCAGUCUAAGAAUAGUGACCUGGCAGCUGAUCCCAAGGCAUUUUUGUACUUCCAAGCUAUCUAUAUUUAAAAGAAAUGAUGGGAGAAUUGUAAAGACUUCUUGGGACUUAGGUUUUGCUUUCAUCAUCUUCUCCUCCCUUACUUCUUUCCUAUUCUCUUGCCUCUCAGAUAUGAUGAUCCUCUUUUUUUUCUCAUUGUGCCCUUUGAUGUUUUUAUACAGCAUUGUUUUGCUUUACUUUUGCAGUUUUUGUCUGAAUGAGAAUCUUGUUUUUGCAGCACGUAGAAGCUGUUUGCUUUGAGAAUCACUGGCUGUGUUCAUCUAAGCAGGAGUUUGAUGCUUUCACUGAAUCCUUCAGUCUUCAUGAACAUACAAAUAUGAAAAGAAAAAUGGUUCCCUUGAGUUUCUUUGGUCUUUGCUUCUGAUAUUUCACUGGGGAGAAAUGUACUGAACCAAAUAAACUGAACCACGAACGAGCUGCUGACACACUUCUCAUGCUAUUGGAUUUGCUGCUGGCUGGCUAACGAAACUGCCCUGUGUUCUGUCACCAGGAGCUGUGCUACAGGAUCCAACAGGGCAGCACAGUGGAAGUGUACUGAAGCCAGGUUUGUUUUGCCCAAGCAAAUUGGAUCCAACAAACAUGGAAAAUAUUAAUUUUUACUACAAAUGUUAGAUUUAUGGGCUUGAUAAGUUGGAUUUAUGAAUUUUUUUCCAAAAGAAGUGCCUAUUUUACUUAUUGAAAUCUCAUCUUCCAGAAGUGGAAAUUUAAGAAUUUUGAUUGUGGCAUUUGCUGGGAUGAAAACAGAAAAAUCCUCUGUAAAGGAAAAAUCCUCUGUUAAAGGUGAGGAUGGGAUCAUUAAACAACGGACAUAUUAAAUCUGACAGCCCAGAAAGCACAAACAAAGAAAUAAGAGUUCAGUUGCCAGACGGUGAAAAAUAAGUUUUUCAUAGUUGAUCACACAGCAGCAAGGCUAACAAAGAGCCUGCAGAUUUCCUUUUGAAAUUGGUGGGAGCUGGGAGCACUUAGUGCCUUUCAUGGGUUGUGACUGGUUUGUGGGCUUUCACCUCAGGAGCUCCCUGAGCCUGCCUAGUGCUCUAGAAACUUUAGUCCCCUUACAGCUUUGCCUGCUGACAUAGCUUCUGAGCAUUAUUACCGUUAGCAGGUUUUAGAUCUCCAAGUUCUUUCAUGUCCAAGCAGUGAGUAUGAACUUCAAGGUAUAUGUAUAUAUAUAUGGUACUACUGAAUUACGACUGCUUUGCUGGAAAUCAGAUGACAGUCAGCUGGCUAAUUAUUGGAUCUCAGCAUGUGCAAGCUACCCUGUAAGAUUCACAUAAGGAGUUAUCUCAUAGUGAGCUUGUCUCUUCUAUGACAAAUGUUGAAUUUGAUCAUGCUGAGUUUGGCUCCUUAGUAAGUGGAAUGAUUCACCAAGUUUGCAUGUAGCCUGGGUAUAGCUUAGAAGAGAAAGGACAGUAAAUCACCAAACUGAAUUAGCACACAGAGCCCUGAGUAAGUGCAUCAUGUGAGAUGACGCCACUAAAAGCACUGCAUGCUGACCAUCUAAACCUGGAUGGUUUUAUCCAAGGUACAUCCAGGCUAAUUAUCUGGAUGUACCUUGCACCCAGGUAAUUAGCAGUACUUCUUGGGAAAUAAACAGUAGGGUGCUUGUGGAUAAGACAUUAGCUAGUUGGUGAAGUUACUAAUUUAAUUUCUUUGUGUGUCGCAGACAAGGUUAGUCUCUGUAGCCUCUGCUUUGUGUUCUGCCUCUUCAGUGUUACAAACCAGUCAUCUUUGGGAAUAACUCAAAUAACAUGAAGAUAAAUAUCAUAAUAAUUCCUGUGUUUUCUAAUGUGUAUUAGAAAAAAAUCAGGUAGCGCUGAUAGCUAUUACUCAAUUUAACAGACAACAGCAGUAAAGAAUAAAUCUGCUGGUAAAUGACAUAGGCUUAUAGAAGAUAGCUUUCAAAAAAAAAAAAAAAACCAAAAAACUAACAAACAAAAACAAACAAAUAAAAACACUUUGUUACUGAUACUUUACUACAAGAGAAAGAAAGCUGCUGUUUGAUGUCCAGAUUCUAUAGUCUGCAGUGCUUCUGAGCGAGUCACUUACCCACCAAAGGAUAACACAUUAUCUAGCUGGAAAAAGUCAGGACAACAUCCCUAAUGAAAUCCCUGGUAGCCUUGUACAACUGUUUUGCAGUGGUUUAGGAAUGUAGAAAGAAAGAAAUUAUUUCCAUUUAAAAUAUUGCAGUCAGUGUAAAACUGAAA